rnacentral:snoRNA from 15 species
UCCCCGUGAAGAAACAUUCACAUGUCUUACCUUCUGUCCUAGUCCCAGAGCCUGUAAAGGUGAACCCACUGGGGCUGGCUGGGGGAUAAGAGGAGCAUUUGUUCCAGAUGGAACUGUCUGAGGGAU